GUGAGAAGAGAAUGAUGGAAAGGCUUAGUUUGAUACAGAGUUCUGUUUAUAUGUCUAAGUGAAAUUAGGAAUUAAAACGGUCACAAUAAGGAUGAGAACAGAUGACAUAUGAAGCGUGAAAUAGAAGCUAUUACCUCAUCUCAAUUAUGCGAUGAAGAAAACUAAAAAGGAUUGUGAAGCCCGUGGAGGUUAUGUAAUGAAGAGGAUGAUGAUCUCCAUGAAAAUCGUUGAGGAGAGAAGGAAGAUGAGCUUUUCUCAGCCUGUAAAAGUGAGAAUAACUUCCUCCCUUUUUCUCUUCUCAUCUAUUACGUUUCUAGGAUCUAUGAAUGGAAUAAGGAAGGCCGAUUUUAGUCGGGGCUGAAGAAAUGAACCCAUGUAACAAAAUACAGUUUGAUAUGAAAGCUUCUUCUAUUUGUACAUACAACACUCUGUCUAAUCCCAUCUUUAGUAGAUCAAUCGGGUGAAGAAACAAAUUCAAGAUAUAUGAUCUUAAGGCAUCAUCUAUAAUCGAUUAUAAUUUUUUUGCAUACAAAAGGAACGAUUACUUUUUCCAAUUUUCCCCCUAACUUCAAUAUUAACUCAGACUAAAAUUGAUAACCGUUGUUGUUUUUAUUUUGGAAGUGUUUUGGUGCUUCAGGUUGGACAUAGAGAAACAGAGAAACGAGGGAGCAUGAUGACAGGGGGAUCAUAAGCAUAGGAAAAUGAAACUGAUGAACCAGGUUGUACAGUUCCGCCAUUUAUGAGAAGACAAUUGUCAUUUUUCUUUAACAGAAUCGAUGGAUCAACGGGUUCAAUAGUCUGAAACCCUUGGCAGGACAAGAGAAUCUGCUUCUGAGGACAAUCGCAGUUGUUGAUCACUUGAACGUUCCAUUCAGGUUGCCCCCCAAUCUCCCUUCCGCUUCUCUGUGUUCCUAUGUUAAUGGUGUCCAAACUGCAGCUCCCAGUAGCAGACCCUGCAACAAAAUCCAACAACUCAAACUGAGAAAAGGGAAGAGAAAGAACUGUGAAAGGUUAGAGAGAUCGCUAUAGUAUUUCAUUUGGGAUUAAUUCUAACUUUCUUUUCUUUAUCAAAUAAUAGUAUACCUUGGUUGAUGAAACUUAGGAGUAGGAUGAUGAUUGCUGCAAUCAUGGUGGAGAGGUUGAUGAUAGCUGAAGGAAAUUUUGUGCUGGCAGGGAGUGGUUUUGAGAUAAGUGGGUUUAGAAACCAAAUUUCUUUGUUUUUUGUUUUUAUUACUUUAUCUUGGAA
rnacentral:lncRNA from 1 species